rnacentral:rRNA from 1 species
GACGAACGCUGGCGGCGUGCUUAACACAUGCAAGUCGAACGGUAAGGCCCUUCGGGGUACACGAGUGGCGAACGGGUGAGUAACACGUGGGUGAUCUGCCCUGCACUUCGGGAUAAGCCUGGGAAACUGGGUCUAAUACCGGAUAGGACCACUGCCUGCAUGGGUGGUGGUGGAAAGCUUUUGCGGUGUGGGAUGGGCCCGCGGCCUAUCAGCUUGUUGGUGGGGUGAUGGCCUACCAAGGCGACGACGGGUAGCCGGCCUGAGAGGGUGACAGGCCACACUGGGACUGAGAGACGGCCCAGACUCCUAGGGGAGGCAGCAGUGGGGAAUAUUGCACAAUGGGCGCAAGCCUGAUGCAGCGACGCCGCGUGAGGGAUGACGGCCUUCGGGUUGUAAACCUCUUUCAGCACCGACGAAGCGCAAGUGACGGUAGGUGCAGAAGAAGGACCGGCCAACUACGUGCCAGCAGCCGCCGUAA